rnacentral:lncRNA from 1 species
AGGAACUUGCGAGUAUAUUCUGAUACAGUCAUGUCCCCCGAGACCAAGUGUGCAAAAUCUAUCUCCCUCAGAUGUUGGAGAUGCUCUAGGAGGUACUCUGCAUGAAAGACUGUCAGGAACUGUUCUCAAGUGAUUGAGAAGGGCAGGGUGGCCUGUUUGAGUUGCCACCAGCGGUCUGCUUCUCCCAUUAGCAUGUAGGUAGCAAGGAUGACCUUCUAUUCGGGGAUCACCACGAGUGU